CUUGCGGGUACUCGAGUGGCGAACGGGUGAGUAACACGUGGGUGAUCUGCCCUGGACUCUGGGAUAAGCCUGGGAAACUGGGUCUAAUACCGGAUAUGACCUUACAUCGCAUGGUGUUUGGUGGAAAGCUUUUGCGGUUCAGGAUGGGCCCGCGGCCUAUCAGCUUGUUGGUGGGGUAAUGGCCUACCAAGGCGACGACGGGUAGCCGACCUGAGAGGGUGAUCGGCCACACUGGGACUGAGACACGGCCCAGACUCCUACGGGAGGCAGCAGUGGGGAAUAUUGCACAAUGGGCGCAAGCCUGAUGCAGCGACGCCGCGUGAGGGAUGACGGCCUUCGGGUUGUAAACCUCUUUCACCAGGGACGAAGCGCAAGUGACGGUACCUGGAGAAGAAGCACCGGCCAACUACGUGCCAGCAGCCGCGGUAAUACGUAGGGUGCGAGCGUUGUCCGGAAUUAC
rnacentral:rRNA from 1 species